AUGCUAUUGUAAAGAGGCAAUUAUAGCGUUCAGCCAUUUAGCACGAAAGGAAACACUCGAGCCCUAUUUUAAUAUAGCGUCCCAGAAGUCUUCAAUAGCGUUUCACUCUUUCCAAAAUGAAAACCAGCGUUUCACCCUCCCCAGACUUCCCCUUUUCAACAUCUCUCUCUCUCCCCCUCUCUCUCUAAAAACAACGGAGUAAGACAGAAGGGGGUGGGGGAAGGCGGCGACUCCUCCCCUCCCACCAACCCCUACCAUCUCCGCCCUUCCUCUCUGCCGAUCGGACCGAGCUACCGAUGGUCGUCACCAUCGAACUGCGCUGAUCCUCGUCGAUUAAAUCACCUCGCCUAAUCUAUACGGACUUUCCCUCUCAACCGAUCUUGCCUUUGUAUCCCGCCGGACGUCAUUUUAUCACGCCGACUAUUGUCAACCAACGUUCUCGGCCCAACCACCACUUGUCGUCGAUCUGCCUUCGCAAGGGCCAUCUGUUUAGGUUUCGGAUCGAUUGCUGUUGUACUAGGGUUUCAAUCCUGAGUUCGUUCUGUCUUCCACCCAAAGGGCUUGCGUGGAUUUCUAGCCAUGGAGGAUCUAUCAGAGAUAUAUGAGAAGUGAGAAUGCUCCAUGAAUUAGCCACUAAGGAGAUAUAUAUGGGUUCUACUAGAGUUAUGCCCAAUCAAAGAGCCAUUGAUCUAUGAAGUGAUUGUCAAAGUUAGAAUAUCCAAGAUUGAUUUGCUAUAGAUGCAACAGAUACACAAGCUCGCACAAGAAUCAGUUUGUGGUCUGUGGCUUGAAAGAGAAAUUGACGGUCUGUGACUUUUUGUCAAAGAUGUAGAUACGAUCUUUCCAGUGCUCGUUGGAACUUCGAAGCCUGUCGUUCCUAUGAUACAUGUUCUCGUACUGAUAUUCUUGUAUAUAAGUUUAGCAUAGUACGUACUUGAUGCUGGAUCAACUUUUGUUAUUUUGGAGAUGUAAUGCUUUGAACAUAUUGCUAAGGAAUGAGUAAUAAAUUGUGUCCUUCAGUUUCUAUGAGUAAAUUUGUAUGAGCUUGCUAAGAAAUGCCAUUCAAGUUUUUG